GUGCUGCAUGGCUGUCGUCAGCUCGUGUUGUGAAAUGUUGGGUUAAGUCCCGCAACGAGCGCAACCCUUAUCCUUUGUUGCCAGCGGUCCGGCCGGGAACUCAAAGGAGACUGCCAGUGAUAAACUGGAGGAAGGUGGGGAUGACGUCAAGUCAUCAUGGCCCUUACGACCAGGGCUACACACGUGCUACAAUGGCGCAUACAAAGAGAAGCGACCUCGCGAGAGCAAGCGGACCUCAUAAAGUGCGUCGUAGUCCGGAUUGGAGUCUGCAACUCGACUCCAUGAAGUCGGAAUCGCUAGUAAUCGUGGAUCAGAAUGCCACGGUGAAUACGUUCCCGGGCCUUGUACACACCGCCCGUCACACCAUGGGAGUGGGUUGCAAAAGAAGUAGGUAGCUUAACCUUCGGGAGGGCGCUUACCACUUUGUGAUUCAUGACUGGGGUGAAGUCGUAACAAGGUAACCGUAGGGGAACCUGC
rnacentral:rRNA from 2 species